GCCUGAGCAGCUGAACAGAGCGAUAAUGGGGAGGAAAUGGCUGAGACCUUUCUGAGCCCAGCCCCAGCUCUUUGGCAUUCUACCCUCCUCACUUCUGGGACCUGAGGGGCAGGGUCAGUAAAACAGUUGCUCAAGAGGAAAAGCAGAUUUCUAAACUGCUUUGCUGAUUUGAUCUGGGGCCCUGGAGUGCCAACAUCCUGUGAUAGCGGCUGAUUGUUGAUGCCUGGGAGGAUACAGCAGUGACGAUCCAAAUUUACAAGACUCAACAUGGUUUUCAAAACUUCCUUUUAAAAAAGAUGUUCCUGAGUUCUGGAAUCUGAACAAAAUAUGUCUGGUUAUUAUAUAAUUCUAAUGGUCCUUGUGGAUGCUACCAUUAGAGUUCAGUUAGUGUCUCAUCUAUCACUGUAAUAUUUGUAUUGUAACACUAAUCGUGGCAAAGUAUGAUUUGAUAAAUGCUCAUUCUCAAAUCUUUUAUUUUAGUGUGUUCAUGUAAGAUUAAUGACCAUGAUGACUUGAGAUAGAAUUUUUUGAUUUGUUGCUUUCUUUGUGUCUUCCAAUAUCACACAGAUUUGCAAAGAUAUCUAUGGCACAAGGGGAGAAAAUAAUAACUUAACUAGAGGAUAGGAGUAAGGCCUUCUAUUAACAAGACACUGUUGACAUUUCUAGGUAGAUUUCAGAAUUCUCCAGGCAUGCCUGGUAGAAAUUUUAGAAAUAAAAGCCAGGAAAGAAAGGCAGAAAGACUAUGUUGGGACAUUAGCAAUUUCUUCCUACCACAAUAUUUCUUUAUUCACUGUAAGUAAAUCUAAUGCUAAUUUAUUUAUCUGUCUAUCCUUUGAAUUACAAUUUAAAAUGUCAUAAAACAAAGAUUCAGAUAAGAUAGCUGAUUUGCUCAUAUUGAACGUCACAUUGAUUUUCACCAUCUGAGGCCCAUUGACAUCGUAUGGAUAUUAGAGAACCUGGAAUCACCAAGAUGGGGUUCUCCCACUGUUGUCUUCAUGAUCCAUGAUCAUUUGUACACAGUAAAUAUUUAUUUGAGUACAAUGACUUUACAAAUGAUACAUGCAGAUUCUGUAUACAAGGCUGAGAGUGAGUAGACCCAAUUUCAAACAAAAGGUUAUAUAUGUGACCAGUGAGAGUUUUCUAUCAUUCUCUAGGAGGCUAGACUAGGCAGAGUGCAAUUUAGGCCCCUGUGUGGUAAGGUGAGUUUUAAAAUUCCUCCUUUAUUUUCUCACUUGUUUUGGACAGCCAGGACCCAAAACAAAGCUAUUUAUUUGAAACCUCUCUCCUCUCUCUCUUCUUCCUCUUUCAUCAAUUUGAUUCCCUUUUUAUUAUCAUUAUUUAUGUUUUGUAUAACUAGAAAAAUAAUUUGUCAUGGAUUACAUCUUAUUUGCAAGAGGCUCUAGUAAGAUGGCAACAAGGCAUGCACAAUAUAUCAUAAUUUAGCAGCUUCUCUUGUAACUAUACUAAACUAGUGGUGGAAGAAAAUACAUAUAAACAACUCCGACAACAGAUUUUGAAUGAUCCAGUAACUUUGAUUUAUAUUUGGUAUUUGAUGGAACUGUAUUAGCAGUUAAAGCCAAUGGCUAAAUGAUUCCCAACACAAAAUGAGUCAGAAGUACAAAAGAAGCUUUACAAUGCACAAUAGAGAGCUCUGAGCCUCCCAGCUUAAAUUUCCAAAUUGCAGUGUAAAUUACAGGACUGCUUGUCAAUUUUAACUAACAGUUCUACCCAAUAGGGUCUAGCUAGGUAAUUCAUCCAUUAUUCCUUUAUGAAACAGUAAACACCAGCUAAAUUCCAUUGGCUUUUCUAAAUAAAAUUGCCUCAUCUCUCAUAUCUACUGCAGAGAAGGAGUGAAUCAACCUCUGACGACAGUAAGUCCCACACAACAAACAACAUGUGAAACCUGGAAUUAGUUAAAAAUGCUUUCCAUAUUUGUUAAUAGAAUUGGGUGCCAAUCAUCUUGAGAUGAUCUCAACCUUCCCAAGUUCUUUUGGUGGAAGGACUCUCACAUUCUUCUAUUUCCCCUCCUUACCCUAUAUUUUCUCUCAUCCCCAAAUAACUAUUUUCUCUUCACUUGUUUCCUCUAUGGCUUUCCCUGUCACAAAGAAGAAAUGAAUGAAAGAUUUGGAAGUCAAAAUCUAGCACUCCAAUUACCAACAUUAGCAGGAAGAGAAGAAUGUUCCAAAUAUCAACAAGAAUCUCAAAUCUAACCAAGCAAAAUAUGCAAUUAUGUAGGCAGAUGCUGGCUCAUCAGCCACUGAUAUAGACUGAUUUCUACCACUUCAUUAAUUUGACUUUCUUACUCUGGGCAAUUUGAUCAUACCCAUACAGCAUAUUUCUUAGCCAGAAAUAGAUUUGAUUGUUCUAGGCCAGGUGGGAAAGCCAAUAGAUUUGCACAAAUGCUUCACAGGGCAUCUGUAUUAUAGCAGGGAUGUGGGAAGUUUUAUUGUAGAGUUUGGAAGUGGACUGCUGAAUUCUCUUCCUUUAACCUAAUCAUGUCAUUCACGUGUGGAGCAUAGUCAGUCUUUACAUGUAUCUAUUGGUCUUUAUUGUUCAAUUUUUUUUUUUUUUUUUGAGAUGGAAUCUUGCUCUGUCACCCAGGCUGGAGUGCAGUGGCAUGAUCUCAGCUCACUGCAAAUUCCACCCACCAGAUUCAAGUGAUUCUCAUGCCUUAUCCUCUUGAGUAGUUGAGAUUACAGGUGCAUAUUGUCACACCUGGCUAAUUUUCGUAUUUUUAGUAGAGACGAGGUUUUGCCAUGUUGGCCAUGCUAGUCUGAAACUCCUGAACUCAAGUGAUCC
rnacentral:lncRNA from 1 species